rnacentral:tRNA from 1 species
UCUACACCUUAAUCAGCUCCCUCCCCCUCUUAGUUACAAUUUUACACUUACAUGCACAAACAGGCA